CGGGCUGGAUCUCUCGGGGUUACAGCCUUGCUGAAUUAUUCACCCUUGUCUUUUGCGUACUUCUUGUUUCCUUGGUGGGUUCGCCCACCACUAGGACAAACAUAAACCUUUUGUAAUUGCAAUCAGCGUCAGUAACAAAUUAAUAAUUACAACUUUCAACAACGGAUCUCUUGGUUCUGGCAUCGAUGAAGAACGCAGCGAAAUGCGAUAAGUAGUGUGAAUUGCAGAAUUCAGUGAAUCAUCGAAUCUUUGAACGCACAUUGCGCCCUUUGGUAUUCCAAAGGGCAUGCCUGUUCGAGCGUCAUUUGUACCCUCAAGCUUUGCUUGGUGUUGGGCGUCUUGUCUCUAGCUUUGCUGGAGACUCGCCUUAAAGUAAUUGGCAGCCGGCCUACUGGUUUCGGAGCGCAGCACAAGUCGCACUCUCUAUCAGCAAAGGUCUAGCAUCCAUUAAGCCUUUUUUCAACUUUUGACCUCGGAUCAGGUAGGGAUACCCGCUGAACUUAAGCAUAUCAAAAGCCGGAGGAA
rnacentral:rRNA from 1 species